UACGUAGGGGGCAAGCGUUGUCCGGAAUCAUGGGGCGUAAAGCGCGUGUAGGCGGUUCGGUAAGUCGGCUGUGAAAGUCCAGGGCUCAACCCUGGGAUGCCGGUCGAUACUGCCGGACUAGAGUCCGGAAGAGGCAAGUGGAAUUCCCGGUGUAGCGGUGAAAUUCGUAGAUAUUCGGAAGAACACCAGUGGCGAAGGCGGCUCACUGGCCCGGUACUGACGCUGAGGUGCGAAAGCGUGGGGAGCAAACAGG
rnacentral:rRNA from 1 species